AAAAGCUAAGUACUAUUAAAAAGGCGAUGUUGGCUUAGAAGCAGCCAUCUAAAGAACGCGUAGUAGCUCUGCCUUUGAGUAACUGUGCUCAAGAUACGCAGAAAAAAAGCCACCGAAACCCUCCUAAACUAAAGAUAAACC
rnacentral:rRNA from 5 species